rnacentral:rRNA from 1 species
CACUCCUACGGGAGGCAGCAGUGGGGAAUUUUGGACAAUGGGCGAAAGCCUGAUCCAGCAAUGCCGCGUGCAGGAUGAAGGCCUUCGGGUUGUAAACUGCUUUUGUACGGAACGAAAAAGCUCCUUCUAAUACAGGGGGCCCAUGACGGUACCGUAAGAAUAAGCACCGGCUAACUACGUGCCAGCAGCCGCGGUAAUACGUAGGGUGCGAGCGUUAAUCGGAAUUACUGGGCGUAAAGCGUGCGCAGGCGGUUAUGUAAGACAGAUGUGAAAUCCCCGGGCUCAACCUGGGAACUGCAUUUGUGACUGCAUGGCUAGAGUACGGUAGAGGGGGAUGGAAUUCCGCGUGUAGCAGUGAAAUGCGUAGAUAUGCGGAGGAACACUGAUGGCGAAGGCAAUCCCCUGGACCUGUACUGACGCUCAUGCACGAAAGCGUGGGGAGCAAACAGGAUUAGAAACCCGAGUAGUCCCAUGAU